rnacentral:rRNA from 1 species
AUUGAACGCUGGCGGCAUGCCUUACACAUGCAAGUCGAACGGCAGCGGGGACUUCGGCCCGCCGGCGAGUGGCGAACGGGUGAGUAAUGUAUCGGAACGUACCAUUCAGUGGGGGAUAACUAUCCGAAAGGAUAGCUAAUACCGCAUAUUCUGUGAGCAGGAAAGCAGGGGAUCGCAAGACCUUGCGCUGCUUGAGCGGCCGAUAUCAGAUUAGCUAGUUGGUGAGGUAACGGCUCACCAAGGCUACGAUCUGUAGCGGGUCUGAGAGGAUGAUCCGCCACACUGGGACUGAGACACGGCCCAGACUCCUACGGGAGGCAGCAGUGGGGAAUUUUGGACAAUGGGCGCAAGCCUGAUCCAGCCAUGCCGCGUGAGUGAAGAAGGCCUUCGGGUUGUAAAGCUCUUUCGGCCGGGAAGAAAUCGCAUCGGCUAAUACCUGGUGUGGAUGACGGUACCGGAAUAAGAAGCACCGGCUAACUACGUGCCAGCCGCCGCGGUAAUAC